GGUCUCGUCGAUACGCGACAUGGGGUCAGCUCCUUUGCAGCGGGCCGCCAGCGCGGCAAAGAUCGUGGCCGAGGCAAUACCCAAGCCGCGCGCGAAACGCGGCGAGGUCG
rnacentral:tRNA from 1 species